CGAUAGAAGAAAAAAAGGAAAAAAAAAAAAAGGAAGAAAAAGGAAGAAAAAAGAGGGGAGAAAAAUAAGGAUUUUCAACCCAAAUCAUCAAGAUAUUGUCGUUGAGAACGAGGCUGGUAAUUGAAGAUUUCGUGAGUGGAUUCUGUUGCUGAGGUGAGCCACCGCAUUGUUCGUGGAGGCAGCCAUUUCAGCUUUAUCUAGUUUAUUUCUAGUUAUUUCUUUUAUUUUGGGUUUACAUGCCCGACACUCAAACUCAUGUACUCUGUUAGAUGCUCCAUGGUCUUAGCGUGGGAUGUGGGCUAGAGAUUCUUUUUAUCUUAACGUUGAUUGGUUUUCAUAAAUCGAUUAUGGAUUUGGUUGGCGACUAUUUCGCAUUUUUAUCAUUAAUAACGUUGUUGGACUUGCACUUAUUUUCU